rnacentral:rRNA from 2 species
CAGGACGAACGCUGGCGGCGUGCCUAAUACAUGCAAGUCGAACGAACUCUGGUAUUGAUUGGUGCUUGCAUCAUGAUUUACAUUUGAGUGAGUGGCGAACUGGUGAGUAACACGUGGGAAACCUGCCCAGAAGCGGGGGAUAACACCUGGAAACAGAUGCUAAUACCGCAUAACAACUUGGACCGCAUGGUCCNAGUUUGAAAGAUGGCUUCGGCUAUCACUUUUGGAUGGUCCCGCGGCGUAUUAGCUAGAUGGUGNGGUAACGGCUCACCAUGGCAAUGAUACGUAGCCGACCUGAGAGGGUAAUCGGCCACAUUGGGACUGAGACACGGCCCAAACUCCUACGGGAGGCAGCAGUAGGGAAUCUUCCACAAUGGACGAAAGUCUGAUGGAGCAACGCCGCGUGAGUGAAGAAGGGUUUCGGCUCGUAAAACUCUGUUGUUAAAGAAGAACAUAUCUGAGAGUAACUGUUCAGGUAUUGACGGUAUUUAACCAGAAAGCCACGGCUAACUACG